rnacentral:rRNA from 1 species
GUAGGUGGCGAGCGUUGUCCGGAUUUACUGGGCGUAAAGGGCUUGUAGGCGGUCCGUUAAGUCUGGUGUGAAAUCUCCCGGCUCAACCGGGAGGGGUCAUCGGAUACUGGCGGACUAGAGGGGGGUAGAGGAAAGCAGAAUUCCUGGUGUAGCGGUGAAAUGCGUAGAUAUCAGGAGGAAUACCAGUGGCGAAGGCGGCUUUCUGGGCCUACCCUGACGCUGAGGAGCGAAAGCGUGGGGAGCAAACCGGAUUAGAUACCCGGGUAGUCCACGCCCUAAACGGUGGAUGCUAGGUGUGGGGGGUGUCGACCCCCUCCGUGCCGCAGCUAACGCUUUAAGCAUCCCGCCUGGGGAGUACGGCCGCAAGGCUA